GAUGAACGCUAGCGGCAGGCUUAAUACAUGCAAGUCGAGGGGCAGCGCAGUGUAGCAAUACAUGGGCGGCGACCGGCAAACGGGUGCGGAACACGUACAGAACCUUCCUUCGAGCGGGGAAUAGCCCCGAGAAAUUUGGAUUAAUACCCCAUAGUAUAUCGGCGUGGCAUCACUUUUAUAUUAAAGAUUUAUCACUUGAAGAUGGCUGUGCGGCUGAUUAGGUAGUUGGCGGGGUAACGGCCCACCAAGCCUGCGAUCAGUAACUGGUGUGAGAGCACGACCAGUCACACGGGCACUGAGACACGGGCCCGACUCCUACGGGAGGCAGCAGUAAGGAAUAUUGGUCAAUGGACGAAAGUCUGAACCAGCCAUGCCGCGUGGAGGAUGAAGGUCCUCUGGAUUGUAAACUUCUUUUAUCUGGGACGAAAAAGGGUCUUUCUAGAUCAACUGACGGUACCAGAUGAAUAAGCACCGGCUACUCCGUGCCAGCAGCCGCAGUAAUAC
rnacentral:rRNA from 1 species